rnacentral:antisense_RNA from 2 species
CUUGAUCGAGCCGAGCCACAGCGGCUGCCCGUCCCGGUCGCCGCCGUACGCGGCCAGCAGCGCCUGCGCCUC